UACGGAGGAUGCGAGCGUUAUCCGGAUUUAUUGGGUUUAAAGGGAGCGUAGACGGCCGUUUAAGUCAGCUGUGAAAUGGUGCGGCUCAACCGUAGCACUGCAGUUGAAACUGGACGGCUUGAGUGCAGUUGAGGCAGGCGGAAUUCGUGGUGUAGCGGUGAAAUGCUUAGAUAUCACGAAGAACCCCGAUUGCGAAGGCAGCCUGCUAAGCUGCAACUGACGUUGAUGCUCGAAAGUGUGGGUAUCAAACAGG
rnacentral:rRNA from 1 species